UGACCCUACGGGACGCAGCAGUGAGGAAUAUUGGUCAAUGGACGAGAGUCUGAACCAGCCAAGUAGCGUGAAGGAUGACUGCCCUAUGGGUUGUAAACUUCUUUUAUAUGGGAAUAAAAUGUUCCACGUGUGGGAUUUUGUAUGUACCAUAUGAAUAAGGAUCGGCUAACUCCGUGCCAGCAGCCGCGGUAAUACGGAGGAUCCGCGCGUUAUCCGGACUUAUUGGGUUUAAAGGGAGCG
rnacentral:rRNA from 1 species